rnacentral:lncRNA from 1 species
GAUUGUGGGUCUGGCAUGAUUCUAAUUCUGCGGACACUCUCUCGCGUAGUGCUGGGCACUCCCGCAUAUGUGACAGGUGUUAUUGAGACAAUAACAAAGUCGGUCUCCAUGAUCCUUGUCACAGUGUUGACAAGCCUUGCUGUGUCCUAUUGCUGGAGCUUGGGAAGGAGCUUAAGUCACAGGACUUGGUCUCUUAUUCUGCUGAUUCAGUACAGUAGGUGUUGGCUUGUGAUAUGGAACCGGUGGUCU